UAUUACUAUCAUCCUCGCUGUUAGACAUAUGAGGAAACAGGUCCUAACAGGUUGAGUAACUUGUCCCCGAUCAUCAGCUAGGUUUGGAAGACAGGACGUGAAAGUCAACAACCCACGCUCCAAAACAAGGCUCUCCCCGCAAUUCCAGAAGCCUCACCUUGCACUGGUAUUAGGAAUCAAGGAUAUGCCUGGUUUGUGCGAUGAGCCUCGGAAACCAAGAAGCCACGGUCUGUCUUCAAAGGGGCUUCAGUCCAGAAGGGGACAGACAAAAUAAAUAAAACAUUAAAAAAAAAUAAAAAAAAAUAAAGCCAAGAAAGCCAUGCAAAAAGAAGUCAACAUCUAAAAGAAGAGAAAGAUCCAUACAUCUUCUACCUUCCAGUGGCCCAGAACACUGUAACUCUCAAGGCAGGGCCGUGUGCCUUCAGAAGAGGGGUCCAGGAAGAAUAAGCUUAACCACUGUGCCCCAUCAGGUUGCCCCUCCUUUCUGAGUGGCUCGUGAAGAAAUGGAGAGCAGUAACAUAGGGCACCCACCAUGGUUAUCAAGGGCAGGCCUGGCCCGCUGGGAAGAAGCUCUCCUACUGUGAUGUGGCCCAAGUCGAUACCUCAACGAGGGAAGACAUGCCUUAGACUAGACCUACCAUGAUGUUUUCAGUGCUGCCAACAAAACUAGAUCAUCGAAGUGGAUUCUGGCUCAUUGAGUUUAAAUAUAUCAUAGUUUUCUGUGACCUCAGAAAAAAAUUACAAUCAUGCCGUGUCCCCCAACACACAUGUACCCCCCCCCCACACACACACCUUAUUCCUCUUCUCUGCUUUGUUCUUCUCACUGAUACUUUUUACAACUUGAUAAACGGGUUAUUUUUUAAUUUGUUUCGUGUUUCUUUUUUUUUCCAUUAGAAUAUAAAUUUUCCCAAGGACAGGGAUUUUUGCUCAUUUUGUUCACUGUGCAUGCCUCCCUUCCCCUCUCUUAGAAAAUGAUUCGACUCCACGAAGUGCUUUGUAUUUGUUGAAUGAAUGAAUGAAUGAAUAAAAAAACGGUUCCUA